rnacentral:rRNA from 1 species
AGUGAACGCUGGCGGUAGGCCUAACACAUGCAAGUCGAGCGAUUUACUUCGGUAAAGAGCGGCGGACGGGUGAGUAACGCGUGGGUAACCUGCCCUGUACACACGGAUAACAUACCGAAAGGUAUGCUAAUACGAGAUAACAUACUGUUAUCGCAUGGUAGAAGUAUCAAAGCUCUGGCGGUACAGGAUGGACCCGCGUCUGAUUAGCUAGUUGGUAAGGUAACGGCUUACCAAGGCGACGAUCAGUAGCCGACCUGAGAGGGCGAUCGGCCACAUUGGAACUGAGACACGGUCCAAACUCCUACGGGAGGCAGCAGUGGGGAAUAUUGCACAAUGGGCGAAAGCCUGAUGCAGCAACGCCGCGUGAGCGAUGAAGGCCUUCGGGUCGUAAAGCUCUGUCCUCAAGGAAGAUAAUGACGGUACUUGAGGAGGAAGCCCCGGCUAACUACGUGCCAGCCGCCGCAGUAAAAC